rnacentral:tRNA from 1 species
GGCGGUGUGGCUUAGCCUGGUUAUAGCACCACGCUCAUAUCGUGGGGAUCGGGGAUUCAAAUGCGGUUAGGCCGCGUGAAAAUUCCCCCACCGCCA